AUUGAACGCUGGCGGAACGCUUUACACAUGCAAGUCGAACGGCAGCACGGGGCAACCUGGUGGCGAGUGGCGAACGGGUGAGUAAUGCAUCGGAACGUACCUUUCAGUGGGGGAUAACGUAGCGAAAGUUACGCUAAUACCGCAUAUUCUGUGAGCAGGAAAGCAGGGGAUCGCAAGACCUUGCGCUGAUUGAGCGGCCGAUGUCAGAUUAGCUAGUUGGUGAGGUAAAGGCUCACCAAGGCGACGAUCUGUAGCGGGUCUGAGAGGAUGAUCCGCCAAACUGGAACUGAGACACGGUCCAGACUCCUACGGGAGGCAGCAGUGGGGAAUUUUGGACAAUGGGGGCAACCCUGAUCCAGCCAUGCCGCGUGAGUGAAGAAGGCCUUCGGGUUGUAAAGCUCUUUCGGCCGGGAAGAAAUCGCACGGGCUAAUACCCUGUGUGGAUGACGGUACCGGAAUAAGAAGCACCGGCUAACUACGUGCCAGCAGCCGCCGUAACAC
rnacentral:rRNA from 1 species